ensembl:lncRNA
CUUGAUCAACUCAACGGACCUGAUACAUCAAGUAAUCCUACAGACUGAGUAUCACCACAGCCAGUACAGGGGACUGAGCUUGUCACUGAUGUGAUUUCUGCAGUGCUUUUCUCAACCUGUCUUUAUGUUGUUCUUUCAGGUGACCACUCUACUCAACUCUACUCAUCAACUAGUGUUGCCUGCUCUGCAAAAACUUUGGCAGUAAUGAAUAUCACAAGGAAAUCAUUUAAUUAUGUCCCCUUGUAGACCGCUCAGAGUUUGCUCCAAGGGACCAGGGAAGGACUGUAAGGAGUGAAAUUAUUUCCUUAUGAAAUGAAUUCUUUGUUAAGCCAGACUUUCAGGAACUCUCGCAAUGCAAAUGCAAAUGCAACAAGACAAUGCGCUUUGAUCUCCUCGUGGAGCCAAACAAACAGAUAGGAAGAUCUGGAAGAAAGACCAUUUGCUCUUUGGUACCUUCACCCAUCCUUCCCCCCAGGGCACAUGGUCCAGGCAACUAAAAGUUGUUACGCUCACAUAAAACAUUUACUAUAUCUUCAGGAUUCAUGAUUGUAAACUUUUCAUGUUUGGUAUCAUUUUAAAGGUCUUUGUGCGAUUGGUAAAAUGGUCUCAAUUUCACAGUAGUCACUUGUAUUAUAAGAAAGACCAUUUGCUCUUUGGUACCUUCACCCAUCCUUCCCCCCAGGGCACAUGGUCCAGGCAACUAAAAGUUGUUACGCUCACAUAAAACAUUUACUAUAUCUUCAGGAUUCAUGAUUGUAAACUUUUCAUGUUUGGUAUCAUUUUAAAGGUCUUUGUGCGAUUGGUAAAAUGGUCUCAAUUUCACAGUAGUCACUUGUAUUAUAAGAAAGAUUGAAAACUUUUGUAGAAUUGUGAUCUGCUGAGAAGGUGGUGUGUCAACCUUUAGGGGUCUUUGAGAAUGUUUAUCUCCAGCCAGGUGUGACCCUGAUGUGUUAAAUUUGCGUGCCUCCUGCAUGGAUCCCUUGGCCAUUCCCAAUAUGGCUACAGUGACUUUGUGCAGGAGCAAAGUUGCAACACAGAUACAAUGUGAUUUACAAUUACACUAUCCUUUCUAAAUUGGCUUCUAAUUAUUUUCAUUAUGUAAUUGGCAUGAUACAAUUUUACCUGACUGAUAAUAAAUCGUUAUAUUUGAUUUAUUCUGCAUUAUUCUUAAUUCAUUAUUACUAGUAGAUUAAAGCGAAGGUAUUACCUCAAAUCUGUGUUCAGGAUUGUUCAUACGAAAGGUUUAAUAGAUGGAGCAUGGGGCACAUCAAUUGAGUCCAUUUCGAUUUCUGACUAUCACUGUCUUAAAUAAGUUGCAGUUUUCGUAAAUAUAUAAAAACUAUGCUUUUUGUACGAGUAAGCAGGGCGCGACCGACUUAAAGGUAGAUAGUUACCCUGCAUCCAAUGUUUAAGAUCAGACUGACGAGUUUGUGUCCGGGAAGGGCAUUCAAUCGGCCGAAAUGUUACUUCUAAAGCAAUACCGGGUCUGCAGUGAACGAAUAAUUGAAAGUAUGGCCUUUUCAGAAUACUCAAAUAUCUAAAUUAAUAAACAAUCGAUAUCUGUGAUCAGCUUUUGAUAGAAAUAUUGCCUUAAUUUUAAUGAUCACGUGAAAUUGGAGUCAGAUUAAACACGGGGCUAGACUAAAAUUCAAACUAAAUCCUGAUAAAUUCAGAAGCACAAAUAAAAGACAGAAUACGCAUUAAACCUUUGACCAGGCUGCUGGAUUCUGCUUUUUGGGCUGGCGGGUGGAUCCUUACAGUACCAAGUUUAUGAAACAGAAUUGUUUUGUUACAAAAAAAUAUGUAAGGCUUAGUUUAGUUUAGUUUAGAUUGUUAAUUUAUAAAGCACAUUUCAAAACAACAGAAGUUGCGACCAAAGUUCUGUACAGAGGUAUUAAAACAAAAAUUAAAAAAUAUUAAAACUGAAUUAACACUGGAUCAAAACUUUGAAAACGUAAAAAUAUAAACACCAUCAUUCAAAACAUAAAGAAUAAAGAUACGUAUUUUAAUGAAGAUUUAAAAGUAAAAACAGAAAGGGAAGAGAGAAGGAGACUUUUCCAGAGUCUUGGAGCAGCCACUGAGAAGGCCCGGUCACCUUUAGUUUUGUAAUGUGAGCGAGGAACAGAGAGAAGUAGUUGAUUGGAAGAACGUAAGGAUCUUGAAGCAUUGUAUGGGCUGAGAGGCAAGACCAUGUAAAGAUUUAUAAACAAAAAGCAAAGUUUUAAAAUCAAUCUGGGACCUAACCCGUAACCAGUGGAGAGAGGCAAGCACAAGGGUAAUGUGCUGACACUUUUUAGUGCCAGUCAAAAGCCUGCCUGCUGUGUUUUGAACCAUCUGCAGACGAUUUACAGUUGAAUUAGGCAAACCCAGGUAUAAAGAGUUGCAAUAAUCCAACUUUGAGGUAAUUAAAAGCAUGAAUGACGGUUUCAAGAUCUUUCUUAGAGAGCAUCAUCUUGAUUUUGCUACCCAGGAAAGUUGUUUUUACACAGAAAAUUUAUCUAAAAUUAGCUAAGUAAAAUGUUAUAAUAAAUCAGGGUUGCCAACAUUGGUUGCCUGGCUGGAGUGAGAUACAUUUAUGUAUAACACACACACACACACACACACACACAAAACUCCGUAAACUUGUGAAAACAAUUAGAUCAGGAGGUAGAGCUUUUUCGCAUUUGGCUCCCAAACUCUGGAAUAGCCUUCCUGAUAAUGUUCGGGGUUCAGACACACUUCCUCUGUUUAAAUCUAGAUUAAAAACACACCUCUUUGGCCAAGCAUUCAAAUAAUGCAUCUCACAAUUUUGGACUGCAGUUAUAUCUGAUCAAAUGCGCAUUAUUAUUCUUUAGCUUGGGUUAAACUAAUUAAUUUUACUUGGCUGGAACAGCAGCUACGCUAAUUAUGUCUCUAUUUGUUUCUUUGUUUUGCCACGGGAUUUACAUCACACAAGCUCCAGUCUGGAUCCAGAACACCUGAGAAGAGAUGAUGCCAACCCCUCGGAGGACCUCAGAUGAUGCUAACCAAGAGACAACAUACAGAACUACCACAUUUUGCUAUAAGUUUGAUUGCAUAAUUGCUGUUAAUAGUGUUAAUCGUCUGUUUGUUUACGUCUUUUAUUGAUUUUUCUGAACAUUUCUGCCGUAUGCACAUAAACUGACAGUCAUCACUGAUAAGAUACUACUAAAUAUUGUAAGAUUUUAGAACUUCAGAAAUAAAAUUUGUACAGAUUACAUUUUCCAUUGUACUUACUGACGUCCACCCCUGCAUGCAAACACCCAACUGAAUAAAUUCAUUUAUAGAUUUA